UGUCCCAUGGUGUAAUUGGCAACACGUCAGGUUUUGGUUCUGUAAUUUAAGGUUCGAGUCCUUAUGGGACAA
rnacentral:tRNA from 1 species